GAGACAGAGAGCAUGAGAGGGAGGAGGGUCAGAGGGAGAAGCAGACUCCCUGCCGAGCAGGGAGCCCGAUGCGGGACUCGAUCCAGGGACUCCAGGAUCAUGACCUGAGCCGAAGGCAGUCGCUUAACCAACUGAGCCACCCAGGCGCCCGGGAUUUUGUUUCUUAACAUGAUCCGUGCUCUCCUCGUCACUCUUCACGAGGACCCUUCCAGAAAGCAGUGAGGAGAGGACAGGACGAAUUACAGAGGAAUCCCUGUGAUCAGCUGGUUCUCUUGGAUGGGUCCCUGCAGCCUCCUGACUGACACAAGACCCUGGAAACGGCAUGCGAACCCCUCGCUGAGGACCCUGACAUCUGGCCGCCCUCCUUGAGAGCAGGAAUGAGCUGGGGUUAGGAGCAGCCUGGAGCUUGGCUGGAAGACCAUCAGGCCAUCUCUGUCUCUUUUCUGCUGUUCUGCGUUCAUCGGUCUUCCUCUCCCACUCGAGAGUGAAGGCUGAAGCUGGACACAGCUGCCCCGUGGCUCCUGGGGACACGUGACAACACGGGGCACACGCAGGGCCUGACUUGCCCGUCUCCGGCUAAGAAUAACUGCUGCAUCUUGGGCCAAGGCCCAUCUGUGGUCCACCGGGCUCCGUGUGGCUGCCUCAGCCUCACCCAGGUGCACUGGGGGAGGGGUAGUGGUGAGCGGGCACCCCCUGCAGGUGGAGGGCCCAGUGGGAAAGCUGCCCCCCCCCUCCCCCCCCGUUUCGAGUCUUACUCCGCGGUAAGGCAUGAGGCCUUGUCCAUGAGGCCUGUCCCAGCAGCUGGUACGGAGGGGGAGGGAGCAGUCCUGAGCUCAGGUCUGAGGACAGGUGGACGGAGCGCCUGUCCAGGAGACCGACGUGUGCUUUUUGAGUGAGGGUGCCCCAGCCACUGGAGUGCUGUUCCACAAGGGGAAGAGCUGACCACUUCUGAGGGACGAAGCUGGGUAGACAGCAGGAAGGACUUCCUAGCUGGGGGGGGCAUGGACGCCAGGCAGGUGUUGAGGGAGAUGGUGGUUUGGGAAGCCCGCCUCCUUCCGGGCAUCCAGCAGAGGUUUGGGGCUCCCCACACCCCACAAUACGGGGCCUCCAGAGGCCACAGGCCGGUGUUGGUGCUAUAGAUAGGCAAGCACGUUACCGCGGGGGCCGCCAGGCGCCUGCCCCGGGCAGCUGCGCUGGAGCACCCCCAGGGCACCAGGCCACCCCCCGGGCACCCAGCCUCAGACUCCAGAACGCAGCUCCCAUCCGCCCCACUGACGGCCCCACGCAGUUUCUCCUGCCUCUCGGAACCAGCUUCACGUGGGGACUGGCCCGAAGGAGCUGUGACCUCAGGGUCCCGCCCUAGUGACCAGACAGCCAAC